ensembl:misc_RNA 7SK 7SK RNA
GGAUGUGAGGACAAUCUGGCUGCAACUUCUGUCACUUUAUGGAUCACCAGGGUUGAUUCAGCUAACCUGGCUGACUAGGCGGUUGUUCCCCCUUCCUCCCUUACCACUCCAUGAAGCUUCAUGACCUUCCCUGAAAAGAGGAGGACCAGUGAUGGAUAUCCUAGUACGCUGUACUCCCCUGCUAGAACUUCCAACACUCACUUGUAGCCCAGGCAGAUCUUCCUGCUUUAUAGCCUCCCAGGUAGCUGGGCUAACAAGCCUGUCCCACCAGACCUCACUCAGCUGUCAGCCACAUCCAGCUGAGCACAGCU